UACGGAAGGGGCAAGCGUUGUUCGGAAUCAUUGGGCGUAAAGGGCGCGUAGGUGGUCCUGUAUGUCUACCGUGAAAGCAUACAGCUCAACUGUAUUUUGUCGGUAGAAACUGCAGGACUUGAGGCUGGGAGGGGCUGGUGGAAUUCCCUGUGUAGCGGUGAAAUGCGUAGAGAGUGGGGGAGAACACUCGUGGCGAAGGCGGCCAGCUAGACCAGUUCUGACACUGAGGCGCGACAGCGUGGGGAGCAAACAGG
rnacentral:rRNA from 1 species